GCUAUGUUUUGUCACACAUCAUUGCUGGGAGAGUUCGGUGCUAUCCAAGUGACUCCCCUGGGAGAGGGCAACUGGAAAUUUAUGCCUGGUGUCUUCCUGGACUCCAACCUAUGUACCUUUUUCCUUGGAUGAUUUUAACCUGUCUCCUUUUGCUGCAAUGAACCAUAACCAUGAGUAUAACAGCUUUUCUAAUUUUUGUGAGUCCCUCAAGUGAAUCAUCAAACCUAAGGUAGUUUUGGGACCCCCAUCACAGACAGUCAAACAGGAGCAGGGCAAGAAGAGCUGCUUUGCCUGGAAGGCUAAUGAGUCUGAACUUCACCCUGGAGGUAAUCGUUAUAGUAACUCCAGGCUCUAACCUGAAGCUGACAUGAUAAGGCCAAAUGUACACCUCUAGAAGACACUUCCGACUGCAGAGGGGAAUGGAUGGGGGAGCUGAGGGAGUAGAGCUGAAGUGGGAAGACCAUGGCCUGGAAAGAGAUGGCUGAACCAGUCCAGCCACCGAAAAGUGUGCUUGGCCGAUCUCCCUGACCUCAAUUUCUCUGCUGGCAGAAUCACAAGAAAGGCAUCAGCACCUUCUGUGAAAUGGGGAGCCAUGCAGAGGAGGUACCCAGGUGGCAAGGAGUCCAUGUCAGCUGCCGUCAUCCACACCA
rnacentral:antisense_RNA from 1 species